rnacentral:rRNA from 1 species
UCAGGAUGAACGCUGGCGGCGUGCCUAACACAUGCAAGUCGAACGAAGCACCUUACCUGAUUCUUCGGAUGAAGGUUUUUGUGACUGAGUGGCGGACGGGUGAGUAAUGUCUGGGAAACUGCCUGAUGGAGGGGGAUAACUACUGGAAACGGUAGCUAAUACCGCAUAACGUCGCAAGACCAAAGAGGGGGACCUUCGGGCCUCUUGCCAUCGGAUGUGCCCAGAUGGGAUUAGCUUGUUGGUGGGGUAACGGCUCACCAAGGCGACGAUCCCUAGCUGGUCUGAGAGGAUGACCAGCCACACUGGAACUGAGACACGGUCCAGACUCCUACGGGAGGCAGCAGUGGGGAAUAUUGCACAAUGGGCGCAAGCCUGAUGCAGCGACGCCGCGUGCGGGAUGACGGCCUUCGGGUUGUAAACCGCUUUUGACUGGGAGCAAGCCCUUCGGGGUGAGUGUACCUUUCGAAUAAGCACCGGCUAACUACGUGCCAGCAGCCGCGGUAAUACGUAGGGUGCAAGCGUUAUCCGGAAUUAUUGGGCGUAAAGGGCUCGUAGGCGGUUCGUCGCGUCCGGUGUGAAAGUCCAUCGCUUAACGGUGGAUCCGCGCCGGGUACGGGCGGGCUUGAGUGCGGUAGGGGAGACUGGAAUUCCCGGUGUAACGGUGGAAUGUGUAGAUAUCGGGAAGAACACCAAUGGCGAAGGCAGGUCUCUGGGCCGUCACUGACGCUGAGGAGCGAAAGCGUGGGGAGCGAACAGGAUUAGAUACCCUGGUAGUCCACGCCGUAAACGGUGGAUGCUGGAUGUGGGGACCAUUCCACGGUCUCCGUGUCGGAGCCAACGCGUUAAGCAUCCCGCCUGGGGAGUACGGCCGCAAGGCUAAAACUCAAAGAAAU